rnacentral:rRNA from 1 species
UACGGAAGGGGCAAGCGUUGUUCGGAAUCAUUGGGCGUAAAGGGCGCGUAGGUGGUCUUGUGUGUCUGCCGUGAAAUCACGCGGCUUAACCGCGUUCCGUCGGUAGAAACUGCAAGACUUGAGGCUGGGAGGGGCUGGUGGAAUUCCCUGUGUAGCGGUGAAAUGCGUAGAGAUGGGGGAGAACACUCGUGGCGAAGGCGGCCAGCUAGACCAGUUCUGACACUGAGGCGCGACAGCGUGGGGAGCAAACAGG